rnacentral:rRNA from 1 species
GAUGAACGCUGACAGAAUGCUUAACACAUGCAAGUCUUUGGCGAAGCUGUGCUUGCACAGCCUAGCCAAGGCGGACGGGUGAGUAACGCGUAAGGAACUUGCCCUGCAGUCAGGGAUAACAGACGGAAACGACUGAUAAGACCUGGUAAAGUCAGGCGGACUCAUGUCCAGCCUGAUGAAAAGAGACGCUGCAGGAGAGCCUUGCGUCCUAUUAGCUUGUUGGUGGGGUAACGGCCCACCAAGGCGAUGAUAGGUAGCCGGCCUGAGAGGGUGGACGGCCACAAGGGGACUGAGAUACGGCCCUUACUCCUACGGGAGGCAGCAGUGGGGAAUAUUGGACAAUGGGGGCAACCCUGAUCCAGCAAUUCUGUGUGCACGAUGAAGGUUUUCGGAUUGUAAAGUGCUUUCAGCAGGGAAGAAAAAAAUGACGGUACCUGCAGAAGAAGCGACGGCUAAAUACGUG